ACUUAAAUUGAAGAGUUUGAUCAUGGCUCAGAUUGAACGCUGGCGGCAGGCCUAACACAUGCAAGUCGAGCGGUAGCACAGAGAGCUUGCUCUCGGGUGACGAGCGGCGGACGGGUGAGUAAUGUCUGGGAAACUGCCUGAUGGAGGGGGAUAACUACUGGAAACGGUAGCUAAUACCGCAUAACGUCGCAAGACCAAAGUGGGGGACCUUCGGGCCUCAUGCCAUCAGAUGUGCCCAGAUGGGAUUAGCUAGUAGGUGGGGUAAUGGCUCACCUAGGCGACGAUCCCUAGCUGGUCUGAGAGGAUGACCAGCCACACUGGAACUGAGACACGGUCCAGACUCCUACGGGAGGCAGCAGUGGGGAAUAUUGCACAAUGGGCGCAAGCCUGAUGCAGCCAUGCCGCGUGUAUGAAGAAGGCCUUCGGGUUGUAAAGUACUUUCAGCGAGGAGGAAGGCGUUAAGGUUAAUAACCUUAGCGAUUGACGUUACUCGCAGAAGAAGCACCGGCUAACUCCGUGCCAGCAGCCGCGGUAAUACGGAGGGUGCAAGCGUUAAUCGGAAUUACUGGGCGUAAAGCGCACGCAGGCGGUCUGUCAAGUCGGAUGUGAAAUCCCCGGGCUCAACCUGGGAACUGCAUUCGAAACUGGCAGGCUAGAGUCUUGUAGAGGGGGGUAGAAUUCCAGGUGUAGCGGUGAAAUGCGUAGAGAUCUGGAGGAAUACCGGUGGCGAAGGCGGCCCCCUGGACAAAGACUGACGCUCAGGUGCGAAAGCGUGGGGAGCAAACAGGAUUAGAUACCCUGGUAGUCCACGCCGUAAACGAUGUCGACUUGGAGGUUGUGCCCUUGAGGCGUGGCUUCCGGAGCUAACGCGUUAAGUCGACCGCCUGGGGAGUACGGCCGCAAGGUUAAAACUCAAAUGAAUUGACGGGGGCCCGCACAAGCGGUGGAGCAUGUGGUUUAAUUCGAUGCAACGCGAAGAACCUUACCUACUCUUGACAUCCAGAGAACUUAGCAGAGAUGCUUUGGUGCCUUCGGGAACUCUGAGACAGGUGCUGCAUGGCUGUCGUCAGCUCGUGUUGUGAAAUGUUGGGUUAAGUCCCGCAACGAGCGCAACCCUUAUCCUUUGUUGCCAGCGAUUCGGUCGGGAACUCAAAGGAGACUGCCAGUGAUAAACUGGAGGAAGGUGGGGAUGACGUCAAGUCAUCAUGGCCCUUACGAGUAGGGCUACACACGUGCUACAAUGGCAUAUACAAAGAGAAGCGACCUCGCGAGAGCAAGCGGACCUCAUAAAGUAUGUCGUAGUCCGGAUUGGAGUCUGCAACUCGACUCCAUGAAGUCGGAAUCGCUAGUAAUCGUAGAUCAGAAUGCUACGGUGAAUACGUUCCCGGGCCUUGUACACACCGCCCGUCACACCAUGGGAGUGGGUUGCAAAAGAAGUAGGUAGCUUAACCUUCGGGAGGGCGCUUACCACUUUGUGAUUCAUGACUGGGGUGAAGUCGUAACAAGGUAACCGUAGGGGAACCUGCGGUUGGAUCACCUCCUUACCUUAAAGAA
rnacentral:rRNA from 1 species